UAUAUGAAAGUUUCAUUUUUAAAAAUAAUUUACAAUAAAAAAAUGAACCUUUUCACGAUAUUCUAAUUAUAUGACCAGCACCUGUAUAUACAUGUCAGGUAGGCUAUAUCUGUAUAAUGACACAUUACACUGUACACUUGAUUGCUGUCCCAGGUAAAGGAUUUCCUGGAAUAUUUUGCUAGUUUUAGGUCUCCUGUGUCACUCCAAAGCGAGGCUGUGAAGGAUAGACUUGCCGUGUUUUCAAAUGGCAUCCUCUGUAUAAAGCUCUACAUAGCUGUGUUGUCAUCAGAAGUGAACAGUCGAAUCACAUUUAAAAAAAAAAAAAAAAAAAAAAAAACAGUACAACCCACUGAAUAAAUGUACGGACCCAUGUCCAUCCCUCGCAGCCUCACUUUCAUUCCCGUUAAAAGUCAAAGAUGGCGCUGCUGUGAAUAAUAAGGUGUUUUGAACAGGUGUUCUCCUGUUCGUUGUUGUGCUGAGAAUAAGUCUGUGUAACACUCACCGUCCAGCAGAGGGCGACGAGCGUCUAUGGUGAAAACAAACGUGAUAUUUUUGUUCAUCUUCGAAAAACGAAACGUGCUACAACGUGGAAUUUCAUCUGAAUCGACUACAAAGUGAUUUUUGGAAGAUUCUUCCGCAAUACAAUGUUACUGCUUUUGUCAUUGUAAAAUCGUAACAAAUGAAUCUCCUUCAAUUUACAAGGGUCUUUCUUUAUAUGUUCAUCAGUCCACACUGAACUUUUAGAAAGUAUAAUUGUUUUUAAAUAGGCCUACAGAUUUGUGAUGUUGACAUUCACCAAGUUUUAAUAGAGCAGAAGGCCGAAAUAUCCAGAAGAGAUUGAGGUCACGUUCCACCGUUUGGACUUCAACCUUUUUUGGUUUUGCUCACAGAGUCUGUUUCAUGAAAAGCACCUUGACAAAGUGAAGGUCUAUCCCUCUCUCUUUCUCCCUCUUGUCUGUCUGUGUGUUGAUGCAUCAUUAAAUGGUCUCCGCGCUGUGCUGUUUCUGGUGGAGUUUCUCAGCAGCUGGUGAGCAGAAACCAUCAUAAAAACAUGUACAACACUGCAGCAACCAGAUACUGUCAUACGAGAACAGCUGUAACCGCCGAGAACAAGAGCAAUCACUGCCAAACUAUGCACACAUACACUAUGUACUUAUCAGUAGGUUAUUUUGUCAUUCAACAUCAGAAUCUGUUAGCUCCUUUCCCUAAAGCUGCGAGAGUUGAGUACAUUAAGUGUCCAACAUUCUUCGUUUUUGUUUUUCUUUUGGUUGAUUAAAUGCAUCCUCUGGGUAUUUAAAGUGUACUUUUUAGAGCCCGAGCACCGAUGGUGUGAGGACCCUAUUGUAAUUACUCAGUCAAUUCUUCUCCGAAAUG